rnacentral:misc_RNA from 1 species
UGUUUUUGGAAUAUCAAACCCCUGUUAAUGGGUCAAAGCCAAAUGAGUGUGAUGUGGCCUGGAGGUUUAGAAACAAGAAAGAGAAGUCAUGGAGAAAGUAUAGGGACUUUAGGAGGUUUGAGUUUGGAACUGGGAAAAAUUGUAAUAAAAUUGUGCACGCAGGUGGUUGGCAUUCAGGCAUUAAUUCCCGGAGGCAAAGGAAUAGAGUUAAUGCUACUAAGAGUGGUGGCAAUAUUCUGAAAAUUACAUCAACAUUUCGUGAUGAGGAGAUAAAUGACACAAUCCCAAGUUUGGGAUCAGAGAUGAAUUUUAGGAAAGGGAGGUACCUUUAUUAUUCUAGGGGAGGGGAUUAUUGU